GUGCCAGCCGCCGCGGUAACACGUGGGUGGCGAGCGUUAUUCGGAUUUACUGGGCGUAAAGGGUCCGCAGGGGGUCUGCCACGCCUGCCGUGAAAUUUCAGGGCUCAACCCUGAACCUGCGGCGGGUACGGGCGGACUGGAGUGCAAGAAGGGCAGACGGAAUUCCAGGUGUAGCGGUGGAAUGCGUAGAUAUCUGGAAGAACACCGAUGGCGAAGGCGGUCUGCUGGCUUGCAACUGACCCUCAGGGACGAGAGCGUGGGUAGCAAACAGGAUUAGAUACCCUGGUAGUCCACGCCGUAAACGUUGUGUGCCAGAUGUGGGUGGGUUCGGCCCCAUCCGUGUCCAAGUUAACGCGGUAAGCACACCGCCUGGGGACUACGGCCGCAAGGCUAAAACUCAAAUAAAUUGACGG
rnacentral:rRNA from 1 species